rnacentral:rRNA from 1 species
UACAGGGGGGGCAAGCGUUAUUCGGAAUUACUGGGCGUAAAGGGUUUGUAGGUGGCCACUUAAGUCAGACGUGAAAUCCCUCAGCUUAACUGGGGAACUGCGUCUGAUACUGAGUGGCUUGAGUGCAGGAGAGGAACGCGGAAUUCCAGGUGUAGCGGUGAAAUGCGUAGAUAUCUGGAGGAACACCGGUGGCGAAGGCGGCGUUCUGGACUGUAACUGACACUGAAAAACGAAAGCCAGGGGAGCAAACGGG